AAGAGCUGAUUGUUGUCCAUUGGUUUCAUUUGGUUAAGGUUUUGUUUUGUUACAGACCGAACUGAUAAAUCUAGUUUGUUCUUUUCAUUUGUGAGAGAUUUGAAGGACAAAAUCAUAGUAAUAGAUACAACAAAGGAAGAGAUUAGACUACUAGUAGUGAAUGAAACAGUUAUAUAGAUGAAUCUAGCGAUCUCAAGCAUGCGCUUUAAGGUCCAUUUCUACUUGAUGGAUUGUCCACUGCAUGUUUUCUAGUUUCU